rnacentral:rRNA from 1 species
UACGUAGGUGACCAGCGUUGUUCGGAUUUACUGGGCGUAAAGGGCGCGUAGGCGGCCACCGCAAGUCGACUGUGAAAUCCCCGGGCUUAACCCGGAAAGGUCAGCCGAUACUGCGGGGCUAGAGUGCAGAAGGGGCAACUGGAAUUCUCGGUGUAGCGGUGAAAUGCGUAGAUAUCGAGAGGAACACCUGCGGCGAAGGCGGGUUGCUGGGCUGACACUGACGCUGAGGCGCGAAAGCUAGGGGAGCGAACGGG